CAGCCGCCGCGGGAAUACAGAGGGUGCGAGCGUUAAUCGGAUUUACUGGGCGUAAAGCGUGCGUAGGCGGCUUCUUAAGUCGGAUGUGAAAUCCCUGAGCUUAACUCAGGAAUUGCAUUCGAUACUGGGAAGCUAGAGUAUGGGAGAGGAUGGUAGAAUUCCAGGUGUAGCGGUGAAAUGCGUAGAGAUCUGGAGGAAUACCGAUGGCGAAGGCAGCCAUCUGGCCUAAUACUGACGCUGAGGUACGAAAGCAUGGGGAGCAAACAGGAUUAGAUACCCGCGUAGUCCCUGUCUCUUAUAA
rnacentral:rRNA from 1 species